GGACUACGGGGGUAUCUAAUCCGGUUUGCUCCCCCAGCUUUCGUCCCUCACUGUCGGAGCCGUUCUGGUGAGAUGCCUUCGCCAUAGGUCGUCCCACCGGGAUUACAGGAUUUCACUCCUACCCCGGCAGUACCUCUCACCUCUCCCGGUCCCUAGAACCACAGUAUCCCCUGAACGCCUAUCAGUUAAGCCGAUAGAUUUCUCAAGGGACUUGUGAAUCCAGCUACGGACCCUUUAAGCCCAGUAAAAGCGGCCACCACUCGAGCCGCCGGUAUUACCGCGGCGGCUGGCACCGGUCUUGCCCGGCCCUUUCUUCACCAGUUUUUUACACUGGUGGACAGCCAGCCUGUGCUGGCACUCGGGGUUUCCUUAUCACGGUUGCCCGCAUUGUAAAGUUUUCGCGCCUGCUGCCCCCCAUAGG
rnacentral:rRNA from 1 species